GAUGAACGCUGGCGGCGCGCCUAACACAUGCAAGUCGAACGGCACCCCUCUCCGGAGGGAAGCGAGUGGCGAACGGCUGAGUAACACGUGGAGAACCUGCCCCCUCCCCCGGGAUAGCCGCCCGAAAGGACGGGUAAUACCGGAUACCCCGGGGUGCCGCAUGGCACCCCGGCUAAAGCCCCGACGGGAGGGGAUGGCUCCGCGGCCCAUCAGGUAGACGGCGGGGUGACGGCCCACCGUGCCGACAACGGGUAGCCGGGUUGAGAGACCGACCGGCCAGAUUGGGACUGAGACACGGCCCAGACUCCUACGGGAGGCAGCAGUGGGGAAUCUUGCGCAAUGGGGGGAACCCUGACGCAGCGACGCCGCGUGCGGGACGGAGGCCUUCGGGUCGUAAACCGCUUUCAGCAGGGAAGAGUCAAGACUGUACCUGCAGAAGAAGCCCCGGCUAACUACGUGCCAGCAGCCGCGGUAAUACGUAGGGGGCGAGCGUUAUCCGGAUUCAUUGGGCGUAAAGCGCGCGUAGGCGGCCCGGCAGGCCGGGGGUCGAAGCGGGGGGCUCAACCCCCCGAAGCCCCCGGAACCUCCGCGGCUUGGGUCCGGUAGGGGAGGGUGGAACACCCGGUGUAGCGGUGGAAUGCGCAGAUAUCGGGUGGAACACCGGUGGCGAAGGCGGCCCUCUGGGCCGAGACCGACGCUGAGGCGCGAAAGCUGGGGGAGCGAAAAGGAUUAGAUACCCUGGUAGUCCCAGCCGUAAAACCUUAAGGGGGUGGGGGGAGGAUCCCCCCGUGCCGCAGCCAACGCAUUAAGCGUCCCGCCUGGGGAGUACGGCCGCAAGGCUAAAACUCAAAGGAAAUGACGGGGGCCCGCACAAGCAGCGGAGCAUGUGGCUUAAUUUGAAGCAACGCGAAGAACCUUACCAGGGCUUGACAUAUGGGUGAAGCGGGGGAGACCCCGUGGCCGAGAGGAGCCCAUACAGGUGGUGCAUGGCUGUCGUCAGCUCGUGUCGUGAGAUGUUGGGUUAAGUCCCGCAACGAGCGCAACCCCCGCCGCGUGUUGCCAUCGGGUGAUGCCGGGAACCCACGCGGGACCGCCGCCGUCAAGGCGGAGGAGGGCGGGGAGGACGUCAAGUCAUCAUGCCCCUUAUGCCCUGGGCUGCACACGUGCUACAAUGGCCGGUACAGAGGGAUGCCACCCCGCGAGGGGGAGCGGAUCCCGGAAAGCCGGCCCCAGUUCGGAUUGGGGGGUGCAACCCGCCCCCACGAAGUCGGAGUUGCUAGUAAUCGCGGAUCAGCAUGCCGCGGUGA
rnacentral:rRNA from 1 species